UUUGUUAAAUACAGAAAAGAAAAAAAAAUGUGAACAUUUUUCUGAAGUGUCUUCUGGAAUGUUUUCUUACGGACUAUGGCUGUUUGAUCAGAAAUUGUAUUUUGUGUUUUUCUACAUAACCAACGUCGAAUUCACAAUUAUCACUUCACCAUGUUUGGAAGCAUGAGAAAGACAACCUCGGUAAGUCUGGGCCUGAGGCAUCCUACUGUGCUGUCCUGAGUCGUCAUUAACUGGGUAUCUCCACCCUCUAACUCUGCAUAGCAUCGUUAGUGUCAUUUCAUAUGUACUCAGCAGCCUUCGCCUGUGGACGCUGAGCAAGCCUGCACUUCCAUAUUUCCAGAGGCCUAUACGGUGGUCCUAAUCUUACUACCAAAAUGUGCCGUUGAUUUAAUGAUAAAUCCACCGCCAGUUUAUACAUAACCACAACAACAAUUUAUGUUCAUGUGUUCACUGACGCCUGUCUGACUGUUGAAAUAGGCUACGUUUUGAGAGUUUGUUAUGCCAAUAGUUAUGAGUGUAGGCUACGAUGAUGCUAUGCUGUUCUGAACACACCGGGGAGAGUUAAACUGAAAUAUGUCAAGUAGCCUAUAAGUGCAUUGACUGAUGAUGGUUAGCUAAUUAGCAGCUACAAUAAGAUACCCGGGAAAGGGAUUCACAAAAUUAUAGAUACAACCAACAUGGCCUCUCUGUUCCAUCCUGUCAAGAUUCUACGUCUGAACAGGUAGCUACUUAGACUGACCAGUGUCCUAGUAAAGGCAGUCACUCUUUUAGGAAUAAGUUAAGGCCAAACAGCUGUAUUGUAUUAAAAGUUCUGGCGUAAAUUCUACCUAUUUAAUUUUUGUGUUUUUUUACAAAUCCUAUACAAGUUCAAUUGGCUAAAGAUAAUUCAGUACUUUCACUCCUCCUAUAGAAAUAUUUGAGACACUAUAAGUACUGUAUUGUGCCAAAGGUGUCACAGCAUGUCUGUGCUGGUGAGACUGAUGACACUGUAAGAAGUUUGCCCCAUAAUGCUUUGUGUGAAUG
ensembl:lncRNA